rnacentral:rRNA from 1 species
CUCUCUAGCUAUGUUGAGAGUGCGGCAUACGGCUCAAUAACACGUAGUUAACCUAUCCUUAGGAUGAGGAUAAACCCGGGAAACUGGGCCUAAUACUCAAUAGGCGGAUAUACCUGGAAUGGCUUUCCACUAAAAAGGUGUCAGAAACAUGCUUCUGAUGUCGCCUAAGGAUGGGACUGCGUCCGAUCAGGUUGUUGGUGGGGUAACGGCCUACCAAGCCUAUAACCGGUACGGGCCCUGAGAGGGGGAGCCCGGAGAUGGGAACUGAGACAAGGUCCCAGGUCCUACGGGGCGCAGCAGGCGCGAAACCUCCACAAUGCACAAAAGUGUGAUGGGGUUAUCCCGAGUGCUAUCCGUUGAGGAUGGCUUUUGCUCAGUGUAAGGGACUGGGAGAAUAAAGGGGGGGCAAGUCUGGUGUCAGCCGCCGCGGUAAUACCAGCCCCCUGAGUGGUAAGGACGAUUAUUUGGCCUAAAGCGUCCGUAGCUUGUUCGGUAAGUCUUUCGUUAAAUCUAACGAUUCAAUCGUUAGUCUGCGUAAGAUACUGCUGGGCUAGAGGAUGGGAGAGGUCGACGGUAGUCCUGGGGUAGGAGUGAAAUCCUAUAAUCCUAGGAGGACCACCAGUGGCGAAGGCGGUCGACUAGAACAUGCCUGACGGUGAGGGACGAAAGCUGGGGGAGCGAACCGGAUUAGACACCCGGGUAGUCCC